rnacentral:rRNA from 1 species
UGGGGAAUAUUGCACAAUGGGCGCAAGCCUGAUGCAGCCAUGCCGCGUGUAUGAAGAAGGCCUUCGGGUUGUAAAGUACUUUCAGCGAGGAGGAAGGCGGUAAGGUUAAUAACCUUAUCGAUUGACGUUACUCGCAGAAGAAGCACCGGCUAACUCCGUGCCAGCAGCCGCGGUAAUACGGAGGGUGCAAGCGUUAAUCGGAAUUACUGGGCGUAAAGCGCACGCAGGCGGUCUGUCAAGUCGGAUGUGAAAUCCCCGGGCGCAACCUGGGAACUGCAUUCGAAACUGGCAGGCUAGAGUCUUGUAGAGGGGGGUAGAAUUCCAGGUGUAGCGGUGAAAUGCGUAGAGAUCUGGAGGAAUACCGGUGGCGAAGGCGGCCCCCUGGACAAAGACUGACGCUCAGGUGCGAAAGCGUGGGGAGCAAACA